rnacentral:rRNA from 1 species
UGAGUACGAGCUGCUACGGCAGCGAAGUUGGUGAUGUCAAGCUUCCAAGAAAAGCUCUAUACCCGUUAAGGCAUAACUGCCAGUACCCGAAACCGACACAGGUGGGGUGGUAGAGAAUACCGAGGUGCCGAGGUAACUCUCUCUAAGGAACUCGGCAAAAUGGCCCCGUAACUUCGGGAGAAGGGGUGCCACAGCAAUGUGGUCGCAGUGAAGAGGCCCUGGCGACUGUUUACCAAAAACACAGGUCUCCGCUAAGUCGCAAGACGAUGUAUGGGGGCUGACGCCUGCCCAGUGCCGGAAGGUUAAGGAAGCCGGUCAGCGUAAGCGAAGCUGGCGACUGAAGCCCCGGUGAACGGCGGCCGUAACGAUAACGGUCCUAAGGUAGCGAAAUUCCUUGUCGGGUAAGUUCCGACCCGCACGAAAGGCGUAACGAUCAGGGCGCUGUCUCGGAGAGAGGCUCGGCGAAAUAGAAUUGUCUGUGAAGAUGCGGACUACAUACACCCGGACAGAAAGACCCUAUGAAGCUUUACUGUAGCUUGGUAUUGUGCCCGGGCUCUGAAUGCGCAGGAUAGGUGGGAGACGUUGAUCUAGUGCUCGUGGGUACUAGGGAGUCAAUGGUGAGAUACCACUCUUUCAGAGCUAGGGUUCUAACGUUCACCCGUUAUCCGGGGAGCGGACAGUAUCAGGUGGGCAGUUUGACUGGGGCGGUCGCCUCCUAAAAGGUAACGGAGGCGCGCAAAGGUUUCCUCAGGCUGGUUGGAAAUCAGCCGACGAGUGCAAAAGCAGAAGGAAGCUUGACUGUGAGACCUACAAGUCGAACAGGGACGAAAGUCGGCUUUAGUGAUCCGACGGUUCUGAGUGGAAGGGCCGUCGCUCAACGGAUAAAAGUUACUCUAGGAUAACAGGCUGAUCUCCCCCAAGAGUUCACAUCGACGGGGAGGUUUGGCACCUCGAUGUCGGCUCAUCGCAACCUGGGGCUGAAGUCGGUCCCAAGGGUUGGGCUGUUCGCCCAUUAAAGCGGUACGCGAGCUGGGUUCAGAACGUCGUGAGACAGUUCGGUCCAUAUCCGGUGUAUGCGUAGGAAUAUUGAGAGGAUUUCUCCCUAGUACGAGAGGACCGGGAGGAACGCACCUCUGGUGUACCAGUUAUCGUGCCAACGGUAAACGCUGGGUAGCCAUGUGCGGAGUGGAUAACCGCUGAAAGCAUCUAAGUGGGAAGCCCACCUCAAGAUGAGUAUUCCCAUGGGGUAACCCAGUAAGGUCACGGGAAGAACACCCGUUGAUAGGCUCUACGUCGAAGUUCAGUAAUGGAUGCAGCGGAGGAGUACUAAUAGACCGAGGGCUUG